ACGACCUGGCUCACACCGGUUUAAACUCAGAUCAUGUAAAAUUUUAAAGGUCGAACAGACCUCCCUUAUUAGCUGCUACACCAAUAAUUAAUUUUAAUCCAACAUCGAGGUCGCAAUCUAUUUAAUCGAUAAGAACUCUCUAAAUAAUUACGCUGUUAUCCCUAAGGUAGUUUAAUCUUAUAAUCUAUAUCUAGGAUCAUUUAUUUACUCAUCAAUAUUUUUUUUAAAAAAAAAGUUAUAUUAAUUUUUCCAUCACCCCAACAAAAUACAUAAUUCUUCAUUAAAAUAUUAAUACCUCAAAUCCUAAAAAUUACUUAUGUAUAAAACUCUAUAGGGCCUUCUCGUCUUCUAUAUAAAUUUAAGCUUUUUUACUUAAAAAUAAAAUUCUAUUUAACUUUUCUAGAGACAGAAAUUUUCUCAUCAAACCCUUCAUUCAAGCUUUCAAUUAAAAAACUAGUGAUUAUGCUACCUUUGCACAGUCAAUGUACUGCGGCCAUUUAAUUAAUCAGUGGGCAGGUCAGACCUAUAAUUAUAAUCAAUAAGCC
rnacentral:rRNA from 1 species